rnacentral:rRNA from 1 species
ACGGAUAACAUACCGAAAGGUAUGCUAAUACGGGAUAAUAUAUUUGAGAGGCAUCUCUUAAAUAUCAAAGGUGAGCCAGUACAGGAUGGACCCGCGUCUGAUUAGCUAGUUGGUAAGGUAACGGCUUACCAAGGCAACGAUCAGUAGCCGACCUGAGAGGGUGAUCGGCCACAUUGGAACUGAGACACGGUCCAAACUCCUACGGGAGGCAGCAGUGGGGAAUAUUGCACAAUGGGCGAAAGCCUGAUGCAGCAACGCCGCGUGAGUGAUGAAGGCCUUCGGGUCGUAAAACUCUGUCCUCAAGGAAGGUAAUGACGGUACUUGAGGAGGAAGCCCCGGCUAACUACGUGCCAGCAGCCGCGGUAAUACGUAGGGGGCUAGCGUUAUCCGGAUUUACUGGGCGUAAAGGGUGCGUAGGCGGUCUUUCAAGUCAGGAGUGAAAGGCUACGGCUCAACCGUAGUAAGCUCUUGAAACUGGGAGACUUGAGUGCAGGAGAGGAGAGUGGAAUUCCUAGUGUAGCGGUGAAAUGCGUAGAUAUUAGGAGGAACACCAGUUGCGAAGGCGGCUCUCUGGACUGUAACUGACGCUGAGGCACGAAAGCGUGGGGAGCAAACAGGAUUAGAUACCCUGGUAGUCCACGCUGUAAACGAUGAGUACUAGGUGUCGGGGGUUACCCCCUUCGGUGCCGCAG